GACGAACGCUGGCGGCGUGCUUAACACAUGCAAGUCGAACGGUGAACGAGGGAGCUUGCUCCCUCCGGAUCAGUGGCGAACGGGUGAGUAACACGUGAGCAAUCUGCCCCGAACUCUGGGAUAAGCGUUGGAAACGACGUCUAAUACCGGAUACGACGCGGGAGGGCAUCCUCUCCGCGUGGAAAGAACUCCGGUUCGGGAUGAGCUCGCGGCCUAUCAGCUUGUUGGUGAGGUAACGGCUCACCAAGGCGACGACGGGUAGCCGGCCUGAGAGGGUGACCGCCACCGCGGGUCGUAAAACGCGCCCCACCCCCCGGCGGGAGCCAGCGGGGGGAAAUAUUGCCCAGUGGGCGCAGCCCGAAUCAAGCACCCCCGCGGGAGGAACGCCGGCCUGGUGUUUGUAGCCCUUUUUAAGCAGGAAAGAGGGGAAAGGGACGUUACCUGCAGAAAAGGCCCCGGCUAACUACGUG
rnacentral:rRNA from 1 species